rnacentral:rRNA from 1 species
UACGAAGGGUGCAAACGUUGCUCAGAAUUAUUGGGCGUAAAGCGCACGUAGGCGGCUUAGCAAGUCGGAUGUGAAAUCCCUCGGCUCAACCAAGGAAGUGCAUCCGAAACUGCUGAGCUUGAGUACUUAAGAGGAUCGCGGAAUUCCCGGUGUAGUGGUGGAAUGCGUAGAGAUCGGGAGGAACACCGGUGGCGGAGGCGGCUCGCUGGGCCGGUCCUGACGCUCGGGCGCGAAAGCGUGGGGAGCGAUCCGG